CGUGUAGGCGGCAAUGCAAGUCGGGCGUGAAAUCCCACGGCUCAACCGUGGAAGUGCACUCGAAACUGCAUAGCUAGAGUCCUGGAGAGGAAGGUGGAAUGCUUGGUGUAGAGGUGAAAUUCGUAGAUAUCAAGCGGAACACCGGUGGCGAAGGCGGCCUUCUGGACAGUGACUGACGCUGAGCGCGAAGCGUGGGAGCAAACA
rnacentral:rRNA from 1 species